UCUCCGUUGGUGAACCAGCGGAGGGAUCAUUACUGAGUGUAAAAACUCCCAAACCCAUUGUGAACAUACCACUGUUGCUUCGGCGGAUGCGCCCCGGGCGCGCUCCUCACAGGGCGUGCCCCGGAACCAGGCGCCCGCCGGAGAACCCAAACUCUUGUUUUAUAUGGUUUUCUCCUCUGAGUGGAUUAUAAACAAAUAAAUCAAAACUUUCAACAACGGAUCUCUUGGUUCUGGCAUCGAUGAAGAACGCAGC
rnacentral:misc_RNA from 1 species